rnacentral:rRNA from 1 species
GGGAUGACACAGUAGGAUAAGCUAAGCACACUGUUGGUUAUGUGUGCCCAAGCAUUGAGGCAGUCAAAGUAGGCAAAUCCGCUUUGAUAAUGCUGGGAUGUGAUGGGGAGCGAAAUUUAGUAGCGAAGUAGCUGAUUUCACACUGUCAAGAAAAGUCUCUAUCGAGGUUAAAGGUACCCGUACCGCAAACCGACACAGGUGGGUGAGGAGAGUAUCCUAAGGCCAGCGAGAGAACUGUUGUUAAGGAACUCGGCAAAAUGACCCCGUAACUUAGGGAUAAGGGGUGCCACCAUUAGGUGGCCGCAGAGAAUAGGCCCAAGCGACUGUUUACCAAAAACAUAGGUUUCUGCUAAGUCGCAAGACGAUGUAUAGGAGCUGACGCCUGCCCGGUGCUGGAAGGUUAAGGGGAUCUGUUAGAGUAAUCGAAGCAGUGAACUUAAGCCCCAGUAAACGGCGGCCGUAACUAUAACGGUCCUAAGGUAGCGAAAUUCCUUGUCGGGUAAGUUCCGACCCGCACGAAAGGCGUAACGAUUUGGGCACUGUCUCAACAACAGACUCGGUGAAAUUGUAAUUCCGGUGAAGAUGCCGGAUACCUGCGACAGGACGGAAAGACCCCAUGGAGCUUUACUGUAGCUUGACAUUGGGUCUUGGUACUACAUGUACAGGAUAGGUGGGAGGCUUUGAAACCAGGACGCCAGUUUUGGCGGAGCCAUCCUUGGGAUACCACCCUUGUAGUACUGGGACUCUAACCAUAGGCCAUGAAUCUGGUCUUGGGACACUGUCAGGUGGGCAGUUUGACUGGGGCGGUCGCCUCCCAAAAGGUAACGGAGGCGCUCAAAGGUUCUCUCAGUACGGUCGGAAAUCGUACGUAGAGUGUAAAGGCAAAAGAGAGCUUGAUUGCAAGACAUACAGGUCGAGCAAGGAUGAAAAUCGGACUUAGUGAUCCGGUGGUUCUGCGUGGAAGGGCCAUCGCUCAACGGAUAAAAGCUACCCUGGGGAUAACAGGCUUAUCUCCCCCAAGAGUCCACAUCGACGGGGAGGUUUGGCACCUCGAUGUCGGCUCAUCACAUCCUGGGGCUGUAGUAGGUCCCAAGGGUUGGGCUGUUCGCCCAUUAAAGUGGUACGCGAGCUGGGUUCAGAACGUCGUGAGACAGUUCGGUCCCUAUCCGUCGCAGGCGUAGGAAAUUUGAGAAGACCUGUCCUUAGUACGAGAGGACCGGGAUGGACG